UCGUAGCUCAGUAGGAUAGAGCGAUUGCCUCCUAAGCAGUAGGCCGCAGGUUCGAUUCCUGCCGGGC
rnacentral:tRNA from 1 species